UUAGCGAGAUGCUUGGCUGCACAGAGCUCUAUGUCGACAUGGAUCUGGGCAAGGUGUGUGGACAAUCUCGAACGGGAGAGUCCGCGCAAAACCCAAGGCAUCGCGACAGGGCGGAGAUGCAGCAGCA
rnacentral:SRP_RNA from 8 species